rnacentral:misc_RNA from 1 species
AACUCCCAAACCCCUGUGAACAUACCAAUUGUUGCCUCGGCGGAUCAGCCCGCUCCCGGUAAAACGGGACGGCCCGCCAGAGGACCCCUAAACUCUGUUUCUAUAUGUAACUUCUGAGUAAAACCAUAA